rnacentral:rRNA from 1 species
GACGAACGCUGGCGGCGUGCUUAACACAUGCAAGUCGAACGGAAAGGCCCUGCUUUUGUGGGGUGCUCGAGUGGCGAACGGGUGAGUAACAAGUGAGUAACCUGCCCUUGACUUUGGGAUAACUUCAGGAAACUGGGGCUAAUACCGGAUAGGAGCUCCUGCUGCAUGGUGGGGGUUGGAAAGGUUCGGCGGUUGGGGAUGGACUCGCGGCUUAUCAGCUUGUUGGUGGGGUAGUGGCUUACCAAGGCUUUGACGGGUAGCCGGCCUGAGAGGGUGACCGGCCACAUUGGGACUGAGAUACGGCCCAGACUCCUACGGGAGGCAGCAGUGGGGAAUAUUGCACAAUGGGUGGAAGCCUGAUGCAGCAACGCCGCGUGCGGGAUGACGGCCUUCGGGUUGUAAACCGCUUUCGCCUGUGACGAAGCGUGAGUGACGGUAAUGGGUAAAGAAGCACCGGCUAACUACGUG